UUCACAUCGACUUGGGUCAGCGUAGCCUACCUUCGCACUUCUAUUUCGCAUUGAGGAUUUAAUAACCUGCUUAACCCCACACAUCGAAACCACGUCUAAUUAGGAGUAGCUGAAGAUGGAGGUUCCCCUAGAGGGAGAUGUGCAGGGCAGCCCUGGAAAAGGAUCCAGUCCAGAAGAAGACAUCCAUGGACAUGUGGGUCCCAUGCAGCAUAAGAGACCAUCCUCUCCAGUGCCGAGCUGUGUGUCCAUGAAGAGUGACUGGUCCAUGGA